AUCAAAACUUUCAACAACGGAUCUCUUGGUUCUGGCAUCGAUGAAGAACGCAGCGAAAUGCGAUAAGUAAUGUGAAUUGCAGAAUUCAGUGAAUCAUCGAAUCUUUGAACGCACAUUGCGCCCCUU
rnacentral:rRNA from 1 species